UACGAAGGGAGCUAGCGUUGUUCGGAAUCACUGGGCGUAAAGCGCACGUAGGCGGAUGUGUCAGUCAGGGGUGAAAUCCCGGAGCUCAACUUCGGAACUGCCUUUGAUACUGGUCGUCUUGAGUACGGGAGAGGUGAGUGGAACUCCGAGUGUAGAGGUGAAAUUCGUAGAUAUCGGAAGAACACCAGUGGCGAAGGCGACUCACUGGCCCGUUACUGACGCUGAGGCGACGAAAGGCGUGGGGAGCAAACAGG
rnacentral:rRNA from 1 species